rnacentral:rRNA from 1 species
GUCGAACGGAGUUACUUUAGAUGAGAUCUUCGGAUGGAUUCUGAUUUAACUUAGUGGCGGACGGGUGAGUAACGCGUGAGCAACCUGCCUCUGUGAGGGGAAUAACGUCUGGAAACGGACGCUAAUACCGCAUAACAUAUGUUGAUCGCAUGUUUGACAUAUCAAAGAUUUAUCGCACAGAGAUGGGCUCGACGUCUGAUUAGAUAGUUGGUGAGGUAACGGCUCACCAAGUCGACGAUCAGUAGCGGGACUGAGAGGUGGAACGGCCACAUUGGAACUGAGAUACGGUCCAGACUCCUACGGGAGGCAGCAGUGGGGAAUAUUGGGCAAUGGACGCAAGUCUGACCCAGCGACGCCGCGUGAAGGAAGAAGGCCUUCGGGUUGUAAACUUUAGUUAUCAGGGAAGAACAAAUGACGGUACCUGAAGAGAAAGCCACGGCUAACUACGUGCCAGCAGCCGCCGCCGUAA